rnacentral:tRNA from 1 species
GCGUGGGUUAGCUCAGUGGUUAUAGCUUGGUUCUUGUGACCGGAAGGUCCCAGGAUCGAAUCCCGUCCGAGGCA